ACUUUAAUGUGUUAGGCAAUGUGGGGAUGCCAAGAUGAAUGAGAUGAUUUAGCAAGGAUCACACUGUGGCUACACUGAAGCACAGGCUUUUUUUGUUGGGGGGGUUGGGGGGCUGGUGGUGUUUGGUUUUAUUUCUUUGAAUUUUAAUACCUCUAAGGAGCACAGGAAGUGAGGUAAGGAAGGGAGGGCUGCAGAGGCUGCAAGGCACCCCUCUCCUCACCACAGCCCCCACCAUUCCCUAUCAUCCUCAUGCAUCGCUUCCCUCAUUUGCUGUCCCUGAAGGUACUGAGUUUGCUGCCCCCACAAGCAAAAGUAGGCUAGUGGGCUUAGUUAUGUCCAGAACUGGUGAUUGUUCAAGAAAGGUUACAUUAGGAGCCACCAGAGGUUUGACAGUGCUCUGGGAGAUCGGAGGGGCGAGCCCAGAGGCGGUUGUUGGGGAAGGGCAUUUCAGGGAGGAGCAGGAAUGGGAGGUGAUGAAGAGGAGCUGAGCCACAGAGGCAAAGGCCCACAGGGAAGAGGCCAGACCCAAGGUCUGUCGUCUCUUCCCCCACAAAACAGUCAGCAGCAGUGAGCUCACAGGACAGUUGUGAGGAUGAAAUGAACUAACACUUGUACAAUGCACAACCCAGCAUCUGGCUCCCAGGAAGCACCCAAUAAAUACUGGCCAUCAGUGUUUUCAUUAUUA